GACGAACGCUGGCGGCGUGCUUAACACAUGCAAGUCGAACGGUAAGGCCCUUCGGGGUACACGAGUGGCGAACGGGUGAGUAACACGUGGGUGAUCUGCCCUGCACUUCGGGAUAAGCCUGGGAAACUGGGUCUAAUACCGGAUAGGACUCCUGGCUUCAUGGUUGGGGGUGGAAAGCUUUUGCGGUGUGGGAUGGGCCCGCGGCCUAUCAGGUUGUUGGUGGGGUAAUGGCCUACCAAGGCGACGACGGGUAGCCGGCCUGAGAGGGUGACCGGUCACACUGGGACUGAGAUACGGCCCAGCCUCCUACGGGAGGCAGCAGUGGGGAAUAUUGCACAGUGGGCGCAAGCCUGAUGCCUCGACGCCGCGUGAGGGAUGACGGCCUUCGGGUUGUAAACCUCUUUCAGCUAUGACGAAGCGCAAGUGACGGUAGUAGCAGAAGAAGGACCGGCCAACUACGUGCCAGCCGCCGCGGUAA
rnacentral:rRNA from 1 species